UUGUGUUUUGUAUGGCGACUCUCUAUCUGUUAAUAAACAAGGACAGUUCUUUUCAAAGGAAAAUAUGUGAUCAAAUAAAGACAACAAAUAUACAUUUAAGUACAUUUAUGCUAGAGAGGUAAACAUAAAUGUUUGCUUUUGUCUGUUUUAUUAUUUUAUAACUUUUUGACUUAUUCAUUCAAGUUUCUGUCAUGAAGAAUUUAAGUUUCAUAUUUUCUCCCCUGUCUGUCUUGAAAAGGCCUGUCAUCUGGGGCUUGAAGUACAGUUUGCCAAGAGGCUAAUGGUCCCUUUAUGACAAUACAAUCUGAUGUCUGUCCCAGCCAGCCCCCAGCGUAAAGUGGUCGUCCCUCUGCACAGGGGCCCAGUGAGGGGUGACGAGCUGCUCUGCUCUAAUACCUGCUCCUAACCCGCUCCUCCUCAUCUGUCAUCGCAGAGGGAAAAGAGGAAGAAUUACACAUGCUUCAGGUGGUUUUACAUCAUUAUGGAAUUCCGACAUGUAAUCCCCAACAUGUGGCUUUCCGAUUCGUCCCUAACCAAGGAAGUGGCCUCCUGAUUGGUCUGAUUGAUAAAUGAAGCUCUCCUUGUGUUCGUGGGGGUCUGCAGCAGCUCUAAGGGCCUCUGUAGGGUCUGGACUAUGUCCAGGAAACCUCUAACAGCUACUUAUUAAGUAAUUAGUCCCACUAGGCGGCGAGACGGCCGAGGGUGCAGGGACUGAUGGUGGUCACCUGGGUUCGGAGUUGCCCCAGUGUCCAGAUCCCAUUAGUCACACUUUAGUCUUGUUUCUCCUCUUCUCUCCUCUCCUCUCUGCUCCUCUCCAUUCCUCUCCUUUCUCAUCUCUACACAGGUCAGUGCUCCUGUGUUUUCACAGCUUGGCCUGGUUAUUUACAGAGUUGUAAUUAUUAGUAUUUUAUCAAAACCAACAACCGCCAUCCCCCACACCUCUCCAUGCCACCAAUGUGUCUUUGUCCCCGACCCUCUAGAGCAAUGGUCGACAAGGGGGGAACUCAGUCUGGCUUUAAACUUACUCUUGAAAGUUGUAAUAGUGGAAUGCACAAGGUACAUAUUCUAUUAUUCAAUCAGAAAUGUCCAGAUCAACUAGUGUUUUUUUAUUUAU